CAGUCGCGUUCUCUGGGAUUCAGCCUUGCUUCUUGCUUGGUGCAUUUCCUAGUCUACGGGCCAGCAUGAAUCUUGAGCGGUGGAAAAGGGUUUGGGGAAUGUGGCACCUCCGGGUGUGUUAUAGCCCAUUGUUGCAUACGGUGGUUGGGAUUGAGGAACUCAGCACGCCGCAAGGCCGGGUUUCGACCACGUUCGUGCUUAGGAUGCUGGCAUAAUGGCUUUAANCGACCCGUCUUGAAACACGGACCAAGGAGUCUAACAUAUGUGCGAGUG
rnacentral:rRNA from 1 species